AACCCUGCUGCUCUCCCCUUGCACACAGCUACCAUCUCCAUGGCAACCUCACCUCCUCCUGCUUCCCUAUUGGCUUCAUGGAGCAGGAUACACAAAAAGGUUUUCCGUUUUCCCCACCACCACCCGCCCCAAAAAAAAUGAUGCUUUCAACAGGAACCUGAGCUAAAUUUAGCUACUUGGGAUUCAGAGUCCUAUGACUAAGAAAAUACAGAGAACCAUCGUCCUUCCUGCAUUCCACCCUCCUCUCAACUCCACCCUGAAGUGGCUGCUUCACCUCCUCGCCCCCAACCCAAAAGACAAUGAUAGUACCUGCUGAGCAUCAAAACAGCUGGACUGACCCACAUACAAGAUUGGUAUACACAGCAAAUUCUUACACCCACCUCUCCUCCCAGGAGAGAGGGAAAGAAGAGAACAAAAAUAAAAGUAUGCACCGAUCAAAAAAAUAGUUGGAACAUUUCAUGUGCUGAGCAUCACACUUCUGCUUCCUUCCAUCCAGAGCCAAGGACUGGGAACUCCAUGCCUAAAGGCAGAAAUCUCUCAACUCUUACAACCGGAUUCUCCUAUUUGCUCGGUAUUAUUUCCUCCACGAGAGGAAACGAGCUAAGCCUGGAACCACAAAUCCUGGGUCCAAUUUCCCAUCCCAGGGACUGACCUGCUCUGGAAACUGGAACAAGUUCUCACAUCCCUCAUCUAAAAGCAGCUCCCACACAGGGAUACUCCUAACAAGCCACCUGUCUGAAACCCUUGCUGUGUACACCUUCCUGAGGUCAGAUGGUUCCACAGGCUACAAUGAACUCUCUUCUGAAAUACCUUAUUUUUAACACUCUUAAACAGAAGGUCAACCACCUUGUACUACAAUGGGAAGAUGCAGCCCAGCGUCCAAGAUGCCCAUCAAAUCAAUUACUGAGCUUGGUUCGUGCUGGUUAUCGUUAUGAAAUCCACCCACAAUGGCCUGGACUAAAGUGGGCCACUGCAAACGCAGCUCAAUUUACUUGCUUGUUUUGUUCAUACGAGUAUUAGGUGCCCUUACAAUGCACCAGGGAAGUUUUACAGGGCUUGUCAUUUAUUCUCAGAAUAAAACCAAACAACUGCAA